ACUGCAGCCUCCACCUCCCAGGUUCCAGUGAUUCUCCUGCCUCAGCCUACUGAGUAGCUGGGAUUUACAGGCACGCGCAACCAGGGCCCUGCUGAUGAGGCUGUGAGCAAGACCGCCUGUCCUUCGGGUUUUGCGAGACACUGCGCCUACUGGGCCGCUGCCAGCUGCCCACCGUCUGCACCCAGUGCUGCUGCUCAUGCUCCGCCCAGCCACGGCGCCCCCUCUCGAGGCCAUCAGUGGGUUGCCCACCGCUGACUGUGCCAGGAUGCACAGACCGACCGACAGACCUCAGUGCCCACCACGGGCUGUGACGGAGCUCCCGCCCCCUGCGCCCUAAUGGUGCUAACCCUCUCCCUAGCCAGCGGCAGGCUGGGGACCUCCUCCUCAUGAAAAAAGCUAUUUUUUUAUUCUAACAGUUCGUGUAACAUUUAUUACGAUUUUACAUAAAUGAGCAUCUACCAUUCCAAAGCACAGUGUGACUUCAUCCUGGAUUUGGAGAAUCUUAAAAGUCAGAAACUCUUCCCCCAACCCCCCUGCCCAAAACUCCACCACGGCAGCACCUUGGCAGGCGCGGCUUUUCACGUGCUCCUCUGGGGCAGAUCUGCAGUGGGCAGAGCAGCAGUCAGGUCCAUGAGAGCAUGGCGUCUGGUGAGGCACAGAAGGCCUUGGAAGCCGGGGGCUGCUGCCCAGGGAGGCCUGUGUGCAGAGGGUGGGGUUCUGGGGACAGGAAGGUCUUCUGGGCAGGGGCACAGCUUGGCCCUUACUUGCUGCCCACCUGAGGCCCCACUCUGUGGUCCUCAGAGACUUGUUCCACAGGGAUUGGGCCCACCUUGUCACUUGCAGGGACUGCCCCUUGGAGUGAUGGGGACUGGGGCCCCCGGGGGCACCUCCCUGGCCCUGUUGUAUCUGUUGAUUUUUCUGCAAAAAGUGGGCAGAGGGAAGAAGAGCAGGCUGGCCAGCUGUGCCCUACUGUGUCUGUCCCAGGACUUGGAAGGGAGGGAGGGAGUAUGGCCAGGGUGGCUGCCUACAGGUGCAUAUCCUGCUGCUCCCCAAUUCAACACGCUCACCUCAUUUCACGCCAACACACCCCAUCCUCAGAGGAGGAGCCCAAGGCUCUGAGAGGAAGUAACUGGCCCAAGGGCACAUGCCCUGCUGACACAGGCCCAUCCUAGGCUCUGACUGCCCACCUCCAAGCUCCAGGCCACCCUGAGCAGGUGGAAGAGGGAGAGGGCCCCGAGCAGGCCCCAGCGGCGGCUUUGCACAAAGCGGGCAGCCUGCCAGAGUUCACGCAGGAAAGCAAGUUGCUGGGCAAGCUAGCGUGAGUCCAGCCCUGCUGCGCUGCCCGCGGGUGGAGGAGCGUCAGGAGUGCUUCCUGUCUGUCUACAGCAGCCCGGCUGGCCCGAAGAGACCCUGGGGACCCAUGCUCUGAGUCAUGGCUUCCCAGGCCUUAGUCAGAACUGCCCCUGCUGGCAGCCCCUUCCAAGGGGUGGGGAGCAGAGCCUCUCGACUUGCUCCUGACUCACACAUUGAGCCAGUCCAUCCCAGCUCUGCCGCCGCUGCUGUGCUGUGUGACUUCAGGAACCCCCAGCCUCGCUGAAUCCAUGUCCCCAGAAGGGAAAAGCCUGCCAGGCCUUGCCUUGCCCUGUCUGGGAAUCCUUGCGGGAGCCACCCCUGAAACACCCCUAUGGGAAACCCUUUGGUCUUCAUCAUUCUUGGGUGUUUUCCACUGACAGCUGGGGGUGUCUCCGGUGGCAGCUGGGCCUGAGCUGUCAGCCCAGGCAGGAGGCAAACAAGCCUGUGACUCAGGCAGGGCAUGGCACAGCUGGCGGAAGGAGGCGUGCCUGUUCUUUGUGGCUGGGUGGGGGGUUAUCUGGACACAGGGAGUCUCCAGUUCCUGGCUUCCCACCUUGGUGCCCCCAGCCCACACCUGCAGCUUGGCCAUGGUUCUUGGGGACUCCAAAGGCUGCCCCUGCUGGGAAAGGCAUCCUGACGCACCCGCCCCAGGGUAAGCCAAGGGCAGGGACACCCAGAAACGCCAGGCUGGAAGGUCAGAGAGCCCCUCCUCACCCCCCAACACCAAUAAGCCCUGGUCCACCCUCCAAGCCCUUGGGGUGAGCCUCAUCACUAGUGACUAUAACGGAAUUUCAGUGCAGAAUAUCAUACAAAUUAGUUUAUUUCUUCCUUAGUAUUACAGUUCCAAAAUGUAACCUGAAGGUCAGCACAGGAGCUGCUAUGAUAUAAAAGGAGAGUCACCUGGCGCCCCCUGCAGUCCUCCAGUUGCCCAGCAGCGGUGGGACACUCAGUGGCACACACUAGGUCUCUGUAUGGCCUCCCACCUGCAAGGACUUCCCCGGGCAGGCCCAGCUGCCCAGAAGCCCCGGAACACACAGGAAGACAAAACUAUAGGAUGGUGGGUGGGGAUCUGUGCAAUACAAACUUGUAGUUAGAAAACCCAACCGAGCAUCUGUCUAGGAUACUUCCUAUAUCAAUAUACCGCAGUUGGAACCAGAACCGUCUCCAGCCAUCAGCAGUCUUGGCGGCUACUGUACAGCUGUCAGCAUGACUACAGGCAGCGCCCGGGGCUACCUGGGGUAAGAAGUGGGCCCGCACCUCACAACAGCGAGUCAGUGAGAGUCAGGGCCGGAGGGAAGAGCAACUCGGAGGCUCAGGCUGGCACAGAUACAAGGGAGUCACACACAUAACGUAAGAACUUGUUAUAUAAAAUAGAUAUGUGGAAUCUAGAAACACCUUGAGAAAAUAGCCUAUAAAAAUAUAAACUGUAGUGAAAGCAUACAAAAGUAUUAACAGAGGUUCAACCCAUUAA